rnacentral:lncRNA from 12 species
AUGCAAUGGAGUCCAGUGGGUACUUCAUCUCAGCCUGCAGAUCCAGGACCCAGCACUCCUACAAGACUCAUUCCAAGGCUGUAUCCAUUAGAAGCGUGGCCACAGCAGAAACAGACAAAAGGCCUAAGGACAGCUGAGGGGCAGACCCUCAUGUAAAGCAGUG